UUUAUACUAAGAAAUGGCAUAUAUGUGAACUUGCCCAUUAUGCUCAGUUUUGAUUUAGUAUGUUCUCAUUAUUAUUGUUUAAUAAGUUUAGUUUUGAUAAUUCGAUGAUGGGAAUUUUGGUUGUGUAUGUGUUUUAAAGCUGUAAUAGGCCCAUUUUGCCCGGGCCCGUUAACAAAAAAAAAAUUAAAAUUAAAAUAAAAAGUCCCAACUUUAACAGUCCAUUUACAGCCCAAAUUUCAAAACUCAUUAACCCCAAAUUAUAGUAGCCUAGUACAAAACCCAACACCCAAUAAAAGCCCAAAAACUAAAAUCCCAAAACUAGCCCAAAUGACCCAAAAUUUCUAUUCCAAAAACUGAAACCCUAGCCAAACAGCACUACAGCUUCCACGAACGUCUCCUCGGGCCACAAGCAACCACCAGUGGCCUUCGCAACAGCCUCCAGCCAGCCGAUUUCAAAGCAGGCUCAUAGGGCCCAAAUGGUGAAGCUUCUGGAAGUCUUCGCAUUAUCGCCCACGAGCAGUUUCUCCAUGCACAGUUGUACCUGCAACGAACUAACAACCACAGCAGCAACCAGUAGAUAACAACAAUACAACAAAAAAAUAAAGAUUUUUUAUUUUAUUUAUUUUUUCCAGAAUAUUCUUGAUGUAUUUUGGCUAUAAAAAGCCGUUGUAAACACUGAAAUCGGGAUUACAAAAUAAAAAAAAAGAGAGGAAAAAGCAAUGAAAAACUAAGGUAAUUUGAUAUUGCAUUUUCCAGUGUUUCAAUUCAUUUUUCUUUUUUCAUUUCUCUACAAAAUCCCUUCGCAUAAAAGAGAAAAAAGGAAAAUGAGAGAUUUACCUUACGAGUGCUAAGAGGUUCCGUCUGUUCCGUUGAAAUCGGAGCAAAGAAGGGAUUUCAUGGCCGAAACCCGCAUCCCUCGAGGUUGGGAUAUGCUAAAUCACCGUUGACAAUGGUGGAUGAGUGUUUAAAACAGGGGAUUAGGUUUAGGUUAAGGAAGAACCAAAUGGAUGCAAGGGUUUAGGUCUGGCCGAAUGUAUAAGGCCUUAGGUUUUGUUUUAUUCUGAUUUGUUUUGUUAGUUUUAGGUUUUUGUACCUUGUUUUGUGCAAGACAUGAAACAGCGUCGUGUAUAGGGAGGGUAGAUCCGCGCGCAAGCCCGAUCCACAGGCUGGAUCCGCGCCUUGGCCUUUCGGAUGGUCAAAUUGCGCGACUAACCCUUCUUCUUCACGCAGACCUUCAAAUUGAUCCUUAUUUAUGCUUUAUUUCUUUUUAAUUCUGUCCUAGAAUUUACAUGUUUUUGCAAUGCAGCCCGCACCUGAACGUUAUUAUUUGGGAUCUGGAAUAUUUUCAAUUUUGAACCCUAGACAUUCGCGCAUAUUGUGCUUUAGUCAUUAUUUCUAUUUCAAUUGUUUUUUUAUUUUGUAAAUUAUCUCUUCUAUUUUAAUUCUGAUUUAAUUGAGUUUUCUAUUUGUAUAAUUUAUUGUUUUAAAAUUCAUUUAAUAUUUUUAUACAUGUGUUGAGUUUUUUAAUAGUUUUACUUUGUUUUUAUUUAUGUAAUUAUUUUGAAGUUUUUUUAUAUAUUAUAUUAUUUUAACAUUUUGCAUAAUAUUUAGUUUAAAUUUUUUUUAUUAUCUGUACAU
rnacentral:lncRNA from 1 species